rnacentral:lncRNA from 1 species
AGCUCUGAAUCCAUCAACAACUGUCAGUCCAUACUUUACCAAUGCAAUAUAACCAUGCAUUUCCCUUUCUUUGAUUCUUAUCAUAGUUUAUGUGCCCUUUUGUUAAUCUUUUGCAUGCACUAGGUGCCCUUUUUCAUUGGAGUUCCCACUGUGUGAUAGGGGAAACACUAAUCUUUGAACUCUUUAUUCUAACAAAACACAAGCAUCACAGAUAGAUGUCAUCAAAUAAAACAGUCAGAUGUGUUUUAGUUUAUUUUCAAUGCAAAUUUCUAUAUUAAACUAAAAUAUAGUAAACAGGAUCUUCUUUUUAUUAAGAAUGAUUGAUUGCUCUCUUGAAAUCUGAAAAUGGUUGAUGUACACUUUUUGAGGGAGGGUGGGGGGUCUGAAAAAGUGUACGUUUUGUACACUUUGGAAAAUGGUUGACAAUUAUGGAUGACCCCUUAAAAAGUUUAGUUUGAUUCAACAAAUUGUAAUUUUCCUAGAAUUUUGAAUAAACUCUAAAAGCUGGAGAGCAACACUAACAGACACGUUAGAGUAACAGGAUCCAGCAUCAGUUUACACGCAUAGUAUCAUCUGGUUU